rnacentral:pre_miRNA from 1 species
AUAAUACUCCCUCCGUCCCAAAAUAAGUGUCUCAAACUUAGUACAACUUUGUACUAAACCUAGUACAAAGUUGAGACAUUUAUUUUGGGACGGAGGGAGUAAUAA